rnacentral:rRNA from 1 species
GCACAAGCGGUGGAUGAUGUGGAUUAAUUCGAUGCAACGCGAAAACCUUACCUACCCUUGACAUGUCCGGAAUCCUGGAGAGAUCUGGGAGUGCUCGCAAGAGAACCGGAACACAGGUGCUGCAUGGCUGUCGUCAGCUCGUGUCGUGAGAUGUUGGGUUAAGUCCCGCAACGAGCGCAACCCUUGUCAUUAGUUGCCACCAUUCAGUUGGGCACUCUAAUGAGACUGCCGGUGACAAACCGGAGGAAGGUGGGGAUGACGUCAAGUCCUCAUGGCCCUUAUGGGUAGGGCUUCACACGUCAUACAAUGGUCGGUACAGAGGGUCGCCAACCCGCGAGGGGGAGCCAACCCCACAAAGCCGAUCGUAGUCCGGAUUGGAGUCUGCAACUCGACUCCAUGAAGUCGGAAUCGCUAGUAAUCGUGGAUCAGCAUGUCACGGUGAAUACGUUCCCGGGUCUU